GAGCGAUCGAACAACGCUGAUGGUUAAACCGUAGAAUGAGCGUUGGAAGGGCUGGCGCAGAUGAUUCUGCGAGUCUAACCGCGAGAAGUUGAAGGUGUUGAAUGGGCACUCACCAGAAAAAGUCCCAAACUCUUCAGUCUUCUGCCUUACUUAAUAGUCCCCCCAGUAAACGGACGUAACAACCAGGGCCACCCUUUCAAGGUCAGCAGCGUGAGUUUUAGAGCGGUUGGAGAGGUUUUUUCGCACCCAACUCAGAGUGUGGUGGGUAUUUGGAACUUGGCUGUCGAAACGUACAGGUGAUGUGAAGGUGCCGGGGUUGGACCGAGGUGGACAAGGACCCGGUGAGGGAUCUGGCAUUCAGAGGCCGCAAGCAAGCCCUGCCCAAGCAUGUUCCAGCACCGGUAGUUGUAGAAUUAGAGGCAGCAGGAGGAGAUCAGAAGUGGUAGCAUUAGCAGCAAACACUCAGCUCCUCCCAAGACUCCAGGCUGUGGGCUGGCCUGGGUGCCUGCAUGGAGACAACUUAAGUUUUAAUGUUUGGACAUUUCUCAUUCCUUUUGGCUUUGUUUCCUUUAUUUCUGUUUAUUUAAUUACAAUUUUAUAAUCGUGUGCAACCAAGAUGGUGCCAACGAAUGGCAACUUUGUAUACUUUUCAAUGUACUCCUAUAUUCCUAUACUUCAGUACACGUGACAAAUCUAAUUCUAAUUCUACCCCAUCAUUUACCUUCUCUCAACGUUGUUAAAGUGCUUUUAGAACCUUUUAAACAUGAAAACGGAAAUUACAGCUGCAAAUUGGAGUUUCACUUCAGUGCCAAUUCACUCCAUUGCUGCCUACAUAGAUUUUUCUGUCCUCGACUGCACUGAAGAUUUGGGCCAUUAUGAGCAGUGAGCCCAAUGACCAGUGGAGCAAGUUGAACAAUCCUUCAAUAAAUUAGAACUCAGGUGUCAUGUACAAUGGUCAAGAUUUUAAAAGGCUGAUACUGAAAAACAAGAUAGCUGAUCACAAAAUAACAGAAUUGUAACAGCACAGAACCCAGAAGGAGGCCAUUCAAUCUAUCUGUGCCUACUGCAUUCUCUGGAUUCAGUGAAAGGACCAUCAGUGAAAAAACAGUAGCAUCUAUUUGAAGAUAGCUAUGCAAUCAUUCAGAUAGAACUCCUGCAAAAUCACAAUGGACUGAACACUGCAUCUGGAUCCCAAAACAUUUCUCCUCUGCCAGGUCUGGUUACUUAACUCUCAAAAAACAAAAAAAAAAGCAACACUCCUGGAAGCAAAGCAGCACUGACAUUAACAACAGGGAGGUCUUUCUUAUCCUUGUUUAAAGCUGCAACAACUCAUCUGUCCAGCAGCAUCAUGCUUUGAGUUUAGACAUGUAAACGACAAAAGGCAGCAUAGGAACAGAAAGAAAAUGCUGCACUCCACAUCUGAUUCUGUUAUGGACAUCCUGCUCCAUGUGCCCAGAGAUUUGGUUUAUUCACUUGCAUGGAGACCCACAACAGAAACUCUGCAUAAGUAUUAUCCUCAAAUUAAGGGAACAAUAUUCUGUGUAGUUUACCGAGUCUCAUUUCCCCCAUAGGCAUGAAUGUUCUCUUUCACAUAUCAAUCAAAUUCCCUCUUGAAUACACAAGCUUCACACAGCAAAUCCUAACUGCUAUUGCUUCUUUGACAAAUUACUUCAAAUUUGUCCCCUCUCAAUCCAUUGGGAACAAGUUCUCUCUAUCUGCAUGAUCCAGGCACUUCAAGAUUUUGAAUAAGUAUCAAACCUUCUCUCAAUCUUCUCUUUCCAAGGAAAAUAGUCUCAACUUCUCCAAUCUAUCAAAACAAACUCCUCAUUCUGGAACCAUUCGAGAGUCUUCCCCCUAAUGAUUUCACAUCUUUUUCUAAAAAUCGUGUUCCUGGUCUGUUAAAGAAUGUAUCCAGGUUUGCUGCCAUAUAUCAUGCUGUGUAAGUUGAUCCCAUCUCUUUCCACUUAUAAAUGGAUGUUUUAUUUUCUAAUAAGUUAUAACUGUGCACAAGAGAUCAAACCAUGGAUGAGAGUUGGGUUGGAAAGAAGUCCUUUAAAUGGCAACCACCAAACCAGUUCACUUUUAUAGUCACCACAUCAGUCAAGACAUUUUUUGAAAGGAUUUUCAGGUUUAUAUAAAAACAUUUGUUGUUAUCAUUUUCUGCUUUAUAUAUCCAUUUUGUGAUAAGUCUCCAUGGUUGCAAGAUGUCCAAUAUUGCCUCAUUAACAGUGUACCACUGACCAGAGUUUAAUGUAAUCAGUAAAAUACUUACUGCAAACUUGAAACUGUA